rnacentral:sRNA from 1 species
UGAUUUUUGAAUUAUAAAUCUUUUAAUAAAAGUAUUAUUAAAACAAAAAAUAAAAAAUAAUGUUUAAUUUCACCGAAUGGUAUAGAUGGUAGGACGGGUUUAGAAUAUUAUAAUAUAUGAACUUUAGAACAAUUAAAUAACCAUUUGAAAGAAAACUUUUAUAUUGAUUUGAAUUAUAUAUCUUUUCGAUUAAAGUAUUAUUAAACAAAAAUG